AGUGAACGCUGGCGGUAGGCCUAACACAUGCAAGUCGAACGGCAGCACAGUAAGAGCUUGCUCUUACGGGUGGCGAGUGGCGGACGGGUGAGGAAUACAUCGGAAUCUACUUUUUCGUGGGGGAUAACGUAGGGAAACUUACGCUAAUACCGCAUACGACCUACGGGUGAAAGCAGGGGAUCUUCGGACCUUGCGCGAUUGAAUGAGCCGAUGUCGGAUUAGCUAGUUGGCGGGGUAAAGGCCCACCAAGGCGACGAUCCGUAGCUGGUCUGAGAGGAUGAUCAGCCACACUGGAACUGAGACACGGGCCAGACUCCUACGGGAGGCAGCAGUGGGGAAUAUUGGACAAUGGGCGCAAGCCUGAUCCAGCCAUACCGCGUGUGUGAAGAAGGCCUUCGGGUUGUAAAGCCCUUUUGUUGGGAAAGAAAAGCAGCAGGUUAAUACCCCGCUGUUCUGACGGUACCCAAAGAAUAAGCACCGGCUAACUUCGUG
rnacentral:rRNA from 1 species